rnacentral:rRNA from 1 species
AUACGGAGGAUCCGAGCGUUAUCCGGAUUUAUUGGGUUUAAAGGGAGCGUAGGUGGACAGUUAAGUCAGUUGUGAAAGUUUGCGGCUCAACCGUAAAAUUGCAGUUGAUACUGGCUGUCUUGAGUACAGUAGAGGUGGGCGGAAUUCGUGGUGUAGCGGUGAAAUGCUUAGAUAUCACGAAGAACUCCGAUUGCGAAGGCAGCUCACUGGACUGCAACUGACACUGAUGCUCGAAAGUGUGGGUAUCAAACAGGAUUAGAUACCCUGGUAGUCCACACAGUAAACGAUGAAUACUCGCUGUUUGCGAUAUACAGUAAGCGGCCAAGCGAAAGCAUUAAGUAUUCCACCUGGGGAGUACGCCGGCAACGGUGAAACUCAAAGGAAUUGACGGGG